AGUACUUACCACUAAUUCCAAACUUUGUUCCAAUGGCUGUCAAAAUAGUUUUUUUCUAAGUCGUGUCUCUAUUUUCCUAUCUGAUUUAUUAUAUAAGAAGGAAUAUUUUCUAAUAUCUUCGAAAAAUAUUUCAAAUUCCUCGCUGCGCUUCAACUUAUCUAUUGUUUCCGCCAUUUUAAUUUUUAAAAUUUCAGUUCAUGACAUCAACAAACAUCACUCCAAGCGAGACACAUGAUUGCGUAAAAGUACAACCGCAAGAGCUACAGAAACUUAAAAAGUUGAAAUUUUGUAUGGUAUGCUUUUCUGCACACGAUUCGCCCAGCAGUACAUUAUAAACAGGAAGUGACAUCACAUUUGGGCGUGUGUUGUCUGUUUCUGCAGUACGUUCUACUGAUAUGGAAUCCAGGCUUUAGUGUACCCAGACAUCAUCCGGUUGUAUUGUAAAAUAAAUAUAGACAUAGUGCCUAUUGGCACAAGCCUGUUCGCCUCAUCAAGGCGGGCCUUCUUCGAGGGAGCUGCGAUAUACCGUAAAGGCUGAUAAAAAUCUUAAGACAUUGCCCAAAGGGCAAAGAGCGUGCUUCACCAGAUCAUAUUACACCGACCUGCGAGAUGGAACGCUGCUUUAAUCAUAGUCAAGCAUGGCGGGGACAGAGUCCUUCCCUCCGAAUCCACUUCAACGAGAGAGUCCAGGUUAAUCCAGUCAGCCCGUCGGAGGGAAGAUCCUUCCGACCUUGGCCUCCCGUGCACGGUGUUAGUACAGCAACCGGUAACAGCCGAGGAAGGGCAAUGUCGAGCACCACAAAACAACUGAAAACCAAACAGCCCAUAGCGAAACCGAAGUUCAACGAGGCGAUAGAACCCAACUACAGGAGGUGAAACAUGGUAAGAUCGACGAGGGCCUUACUCUUGAAUUUCGCUAAUUUCAUCUGGUCUCAUCUCACUUCCAACUCACGCAUGAACUUAACACGAUAAUACGAUAAUUCGGUACUCUAGACUAGGCCAACAUCAUCAGUAAGAUAAAAUAACGACUGGCGAAUUCAACGUGUUGUGUCUACGAAUUAUGGAAUUUUAAAAAAAUGGUCGGCCCAUCAAAUUUAAUACAGUAUUACAAAAUACCACCCGCGUUAUAGUCUUAUAUACACAAUGGAAAAGCAUGGCAAAAUUAAAAAAGUUAUCGAAGAACAGAAAAGUAUUAAGGUCACAUUCGUAAAACAAAAUAAAAAAAUGAACACAGGAAAACUCGAUAAAGAUUUUACGAAAUAAAAUUGAAUUGAAUUAUGCAGAGUUACUAGAAAAGUUAAAUUUUUGUAUGAGAGCCGACCAAUCGUAUGGGAUGGGAGAAAAGCAAGUUGAAAAUUUUGCCAUUCUUACAUCUAUAUUAAUUUAAUAUCCUUUGACCAAAAUUAAUAUCUGAAUAUAUGUGAUUCCAAAUCAAAUUCAUAAUCAACAAUAACUGAUAUGUCAUAUUCUAUUUUUUU
rnacentral:lncRNA from 1 species